CCUGUGCCCUGCCUUUUCCCCAUGCUCUUAAGGCAUUUAUUCGGUAAGAGAGAUAGCGGGAAAGGCUCUAGAUGGGGCUUUUUGCCUCUCCGGCAGUGGAGGCUACCCCUCCAGUCUCCCAAGCACAUGGGCCAAGGGAAGUUUUCUGUGGUCUCUCGCCCUGCCCCUUUGGCAUUAUACUCUCUCAUUAGUUAGUACGUGGUGAUGGUGGUGGAGAAGAGCCUGUGAAGUUGUACAAACACUCUUUAUGUCUGUGGCUCCCAGGGGCUCCUAUACUUUCAGCCUAUCAAUCAAGACCACAUCCUUUCAAAAGCUUAUAGAGCAGAAGUAGACUCCUACCACGCGUUCAGCUGGUGUCCUUUGACUGCUGCUUUGCUCAGUUCCACCUUGGAUGGCUUGCACUGCAUUUAACGGAAUAGACUUCUACAAUCCUUAACAGAACAUGGCCAUCUGGGGUCUAGCUGCCAAAAUCGUUCCGUAUAUGCCAGAUGUCCAUAUCCUAAUUUCUGGGACCUAUGAAUAUGUUAAUUUGCAUGGCAUAAGGAACUCUGCAGAUACUAUUAAGAGCAUAAAUGUCAUUGGAAAUCUGAUUCCCCUUCUCUCC
rnacentral:lncRNA from 1 species